rnacentral:rRNA from 1 species
GACGAGGGACCCUAGCGUUGUUCGGAAUCAUUGGGCGUAAAGCGGAUGUAGGUGGCUUUGUAAGUCAGGUGUGAAAGCCCUGGGCUCAACCCAGGAAGUGCAUUUGAUACUGCGAAGCUUGAGUGCCGGAGAGGUUACUGGAAUACCUGGUGUAGCGGUGAAAUGCGUAGAUAUUGGGAGGAACACCAGUGGCGAAGGCGGCUCACUGGACCGGUUCUGACGCUGAAGCGCGAAAGCGUGGGGAGCAAACGGG